CCUACGGGUGGCAGCAGUGAGGAAUAUUGGUCAAUGGGCGCGAGCCUGAACCAGCCAAGUCGCGUGAGGGAUGACGGUCCUAUGGAUUGUAAACCUCUUUUAUAAGGGAAUAAAAUGUGGCACGUGUCCUAUUUUGUAUGUACCUUAUGAAUAAGGAUCGGCUAACUCCGUGCCAGCAGCCGCGGUAAUACGGAGGAUCCGAGCGUUAUCCGGAUUUAUUGGGUUUAAAGGGUGCGUAGGCGGCAUUUUAAGUUAGCUGUGAAAGUGUGUGGCUCAACCAUACAAUUGCCGUUGAAACUGGGGGUCUUGAGUAUGUUUGAGGCAGGCGGAAUGCGUGGUGUAGCGGUGAAAUGCUUAGAUAUCACGCAGAACCCCGAUUGCGAAGGCAGCAUACCAAGCCAUGACUGACGCUGAUGCACGAAAGUGUGGGUAUCAAACAGGAUUAGAUACCCGGGUAGUC
rnacentral:rRNA from 1 species